UACGUAGGUGACCAGCGUUGUCCGGAUUUACGGGGCGUAAAGAGCGCGCAGGCGGUCGUUCAAGUCGAGUGUGAAAGCCCCCGGCUCAACUGGGGAGGGUCAUUCGAUACUGAUCGACUGGAAGGCAGGAGAGGGAAGCGGAAUUCCCGGUGUAGUGGUGAAAUGCGUAGAUAUCGGGAGGAACACCAGUGGCGAAGGCGGCUUCCUGGCCUGUUCUUGACGCUGAGGCGCGAAAGCUAGGGGAGCAAACGGG
rnacentral:rRNA from 1 species